GAUGAACGCUGGCGGCGUGCCUAAUACAUGCAAGUCGAGCGAACGGACGAGAAGCUUGCUUCUCUGAUGUUAGCGGCGGACGGGUGAGUAACACGUGGAUAACCUACCUAUAAGACUGGGAUAACUUCGGGAAACCGGAGCUAAUACCGGAUAAUAUUUUGAACCGCAUGGUUCAAAAGUGAAAGACGGUCUUGCUGUCACGUAUAGAUGGAUCCGCGCUGCAUUAGCUAGUUGGUAAGGUAACGGCUUACCAAGGCAACGAUGCAUAGCCGACCUGAGAGGGUGAUCGGCCACACUGGAACUGGAACACGGUCCAGACUCCUACGGGAGGCAGCAGUAGGGAAUCUUCCGCAAUGGGCGAAAGCCUGACGGAGCAACGCCGCGUGAGUGAUGAAGGUCUUCGGAUCGUAAAACUCUGUUAUUAGGGAAGAACAUAUGUGUAAGUAACUGUGCACAUCUUGACGGUACCUAAUCAGAAAGCCACGGCUAACUACGUG
rnacentral:rRNA from 1 species